GAUGGAAGCUACAUCCUCACGGAUCCAGUUGCAUUUGUUACCACUGAGCCAUCACAGUAACUCCUGAUGCUGGCUACUGUUUGUUACCUACUUACUUUGUGUCAAACCUUUAAUACUCUCAACUCACUUAAUUCACACAUCAACCCUGUGAGGUAGGUACUGUUAUUACCCCUAUUUUAGAGAUGAGGAUAAGGAGGCUUAGGGAAAUUAAGUAUCACAGCUAGUAAACAAGUCAUCUAUGGGAAUUAACAGGUAAUAUACAAAUUAGUGAUUGGCCUGUCCCUAAAGCGAAGUGGGAAGACUCACACUUUAGAGCAAUCGUAGCCUCUGUGGACUUUGAAUGUCCAUGGCUCUAAACUAAGUAGCAAGAGUAGAAACACCACUUUGGUUUGAAAAUAUUCUUGGGAGUUCUCUGAUGGCCUAGCAGGUUAAGGAUCCUGUGUUUUCACUGCCAUGGUUGCUGUCCUGUAAGGCAAGGUCGAUCCCUGGCCUGGGAACUUCCACCUGCUGCGGGUGUGGCAAAAAAGAAAAACAAACAAAACCCAAACAAACAAGAGAGAAACUGAAGUAAAUGUUGCAACUCUCAUUAAAAAUAUAUGUGUGUAUAUAUAUACUUUUUUUUCCCAAAGGUUUUUUCUGUACUCUGAUUCACUCUCUUUGUUUUUUCCAGGUCCUAGAGCCUAGGAACUUGGUGUGUCAACUGCAGGAUUCAGGUACAAAGUCUCAGAGAUGAAGACACUUAUUCUUCAAAAGUAUACCUGGAAGACAGACUGCAGUGGCUGACCUGGUUUUCUUCCCUCACUUGUGUCAUCUGAUACCAGAAGUCCGUCUCUUUCUUCGUUUACCAAGUGGAUGUUUGUCUGCAGGGCAAGUAAGUAAACACAGAGAACAAUCAUUAUUAAGCAGUAUUCCUGCUGUUCUGAAAAUUCCUUUCAAUUCAAAAUAGGCAUAUGCAUUUCAGGAAGUGAGCUGUGAAGAAUGUAGCAAGUCCACAUCUGUUCAGCUGGCGGUGCAGCAGCCCUGGAAUCAGCCCCUGUCCCUGGGGCCACCUCAUCCACCCAGUGCUGGAGCUGGACUGCUUGAGCCUUUCUGCCAGUCAAAGGC
rnacentral:lncRNA from 1 species